UGAGCCAUCCAAAGAUCCUGGUACUUCGGGCCACCCCCAACCUCAUCUAGGCAGAGUCGCACCCAGAGCAGGGACAUGCGGGUGAACCAGGCAAUAUACCUCACACCUCGUUUUCCUGAUCCCCGCUUUUCACCUGCUGGGCUUUUUGGGACCCAGAUACACAAGGUCCAGCCUGUCCCUGGCUGCAGCACUGGCUGUUGUAAGAGAGUGCCAGGCAACCAGCGCUGAGCCAGUGGGGCACUCACUGCUAUUAGGGAGCCCCUGGGUUCACUGAAAGUUUACCCAUUUUACACAAGGACUCCGCACUCAAGGCCACAGUUCUCCAUGUGACCAAGCUCAGCAUACGGGGAACCCAGAACCAUUGUCUUCAGCAUCCUUCCUCCCAGCACUGAUCGUCAGAGGCCUCUUCCAGGCGUGAGGCCUCCCUGGCCAGACCCCCUUCUGAGUCCAGAACUUCAGGAAACAGCAUUGGAGAAGUCACCACGUGUGCUUGCCUGCUACAGCCCAGGACGUGGGCCAGCAGAGGGUCUGAAGCCAGGUCCAUGAACCCCAGACCCAAAGACUGUGCUCUGACAGGAGCCCUGAAGAGCCACAGAAUCUCAGAUCUGGAAGCGGGAGCUGACACUGGAGGGGUCCAGGAACGACUGGGAGAUCGUCUCAGCACUGUGGUGACUGAUAGGUCUGCAGAAGCCCAAACACUGCAGAGCCCCUCAACAGCGUACAACUCCAAAGGGUUCUCAACACAGGUACCCUGUGCACUUUGUGGGUGCAGAGUGGGGGAUAUUGGCUCCAGGAAGGGAGAGUCUGGGGAAAGACCAUCAGGAAAUAGACCAGGCAACACCUUCUUUUACUGGAUACCAGGGGCUUGUGGGGAAAAGUUCAUACUGAUGUUUCAUACUUUGAGGUUGGGGGACUCAGCCAAGUGCAGAAUGAAUGUGUUACCAAUGUCCCCACUGCUGAAGGAGCAGCCACACCUGAGUUGUCACAGGAGCUGCUGCUGAUCCCCCAUGUUAAGGGUCUGCUGGCCUGUUGGAAGGAUUGGCUUUGCAGUGAUCAGACACAGUUGGUGAGUGGGUUCUCUGGAGUGUCUAUGAGCAUACAUGGCACAGAUGGGUUCCAGGGAAGGUUUGAGGGACAGGAGAGAGAGAAGUGCCCAGUGGGGGGUAGAGUUCAGUGCCCCAUAGGCAGUAUUCCGUGGAAAAUAUCAAAAGCUACCCCUCUAGACUCCAGAAGGUACCUAAGUCAUCUGAUCCAUGGGACGCCAGGGCAACCUAGUGAAGAAGGUGUCUUGACUAGCAGCAGAAGAUGUUCCACUGAAGCUAGAAUUAAGGUGUCAGGGGUUAGCAAGUGAGUGGAUGUCUAGAGGACCUGACCUGCUCCAGAUUCAACUUGCUUAGAUGCCCAGCAAGUGACACAUGAGGAAGGAGUCUAUACAAGAGGCUGGUUAGAGAAUGCCCUCAGUGAACUAGAAAAACAAGAGCAAAAUCAAUCUAAAGUUAGCAGAAGAAACACAGUUUGGAGCAGAGAUAAAUGGACUAGAGAACAAAGGAACGCUGGAGAACAUUGGUGAAAACAGAUGUUCCUUCAUGAAAGGUUUACAGAAUUGAUAAACCUGUAGCUAGUCAGCUAAGAGAAAAAGAGAAGACUCGAAUGAUUAAAUCAGAAAUGACAGUGGAACAUCACUAAUGAUCCUAUAGAAAAGAAAAUUUUUGAAGAGAAUACUAUGAACAACUAUAGCCCAACUAGUUGGUUAACUCAGAUGAGACAGAUAAAUUUCUAGAAAUACACACACUACCACAACAGACCCAAGAAGAAAUGGAACAUCUAAAUAGACUUAGAAGAAGCAAGGAGAUUGAAUCAAUAAUCAGACGCUUCCCACCAAAAAUAGUCAAGAACCAGAUGAUUUAACCUGGUGAAUUCUCCCAAACUUUUAAGGUGCUAACAUUAAACCAUCUUAUACUCUUCACAAAUGAAAAAGAGUAGAAGAGAGAACCCUUCUUAACAUUAUCCUCCUACCAUGGACAAAGACUUCACAAGAGAAUAAAAUCAUACACCAAAAUCUAUUAUGAAUAGAGAAGGAAAAAAAAUACCAGUCAAUAGCAUCAAGCAGAGUAUUGAAAGAAUUAUGCAGCAUGAUCAAACGCAAUUUAUCCCAGGAGUUCUAGUGUUCUGCAACAUUGGAAAAUGCCAUCAUGUAAUACAAGAAUAUAGUGAAGAAAAUCAAUCGAUGUACAGACAGCUUUUGAUGAAAAUCAAGGUUGAAGAUUGGAAACCUCAACCCUUCAUGAUUAGAGCAUCAAAUACAAAAUAAAGUGAAGGGAAUUGCCUCAACAGAUAAUUCCAAAAAACUUGCACCUACCAUCAUACUCAAUAUUGAAAGUCUGGAAACUUUCUAAGAUGAGGAACAAGACAAGGUUGUCUGCUGUUAUCACGCCCCAUUUUCACAUUGUACUGGAAGUUGGGCCAGAGUAAUUAGGCAAGAAAAAGAAAUAAAGGCACUUAAAUUUAAAAGGAAGAAGUAAAACUAUAUUCAUUUAUAGAUGACAUACUUAAAAGUAAAAAAUCUUAAGAAUUAAACGAAAAUUGUUAGAACUAAUCAAAAGUUUAAGAUCAACAGACAGAUAAAUGAAAUACAAGGAAAAAAAAACAAGGAAUAAAACUAUAUAUUAUAUUCAACUGCUCUUGAACAUGGGAACUGGGGUCAUUCAGUGAAACAGUCUCUUCCAUAAAUGGUGCUGAGAAAAGUGGGUAUUUAUAGGCAAAGAGUGAAGUUAGUGAUUUUACUCACCACCAGAUGAACAGUGGACUCAAAAUGAAUUAAAGACCUAAGUCUAAUAAGUAAAAACUAUUGACACUCUCAGAAAGAAACAGAGGGGCAAAUCUUCAUGACCUUUGACUCGACAACGACUUCCUUAAUAUGACACCAAAAGAGGAGAAACAAACAAAAACAGCUCAUUUGGACUUCAUAUAAAUUAAAAACUGUUUUGCUAAAAGGACACUCAAGAGAGUGAAAGGAGAGCCCACAGAAUUGUAGAAAAUAUUUAUAAUUUACAAAUCUGAUACGGGUCUUAUGUCUAGAAUAUAUAAAAAAAAAUCACACACAAAAAGACGAUCAAAUUCAAUGUAGUUGGGUAAAGAAUUUGAUUAGGUAUUUCUUUAAAACAAAUAUACAGAUGGCUAUUAAUAACCCAAAAAUGUGGGGCCAGCAGGUGGUGUGGUAUUAAGGC